UCGUGGUUAGCUCAGAGUAUAGAGCACUCCAUUGAAAAUGGAGAGGUACCUGGUUUGAUACCAGGACCAGGUG
rnacentral:tRNA from 1 species